rfam:Desulfonatronospira thiodismutans ASO3-1 ctg21, whole genome shotgun sequence.
GGUUAAGAUAUUAAGGGCAAUUGGUGGAUGCCUUGGCGCCAAGAGGCGAAGAAGGACGUGGGAGGCUGCGAUAAGCCUCGGGGAGCCGUCAAACAGGCUUUGAUCCGGGGAUUUCCGAAUGGGGCAACCCACCUGAAGUAAUGUUCAGGUACCUCUGUUAAUUCAGGGGAGCGAACCCGGGGAAGUGAAACAUCUCAGUACCCGGAGGAAAAGAAAUCAAGAGAGAUUCCCCAAGUAGCGGCGAGCGAACGGGGAUUAGCCCAAACCUCGUGUCUUCGGGCACGGGGGGUUGUAGGGCCUUCAAUACGGUGAUUUGCCAGUAGAUAGCAGAACUAUCUGGGAUAGGUAGGCCAUAGAAGGUGAAAGCCCUGUAUGCGAAAUCGAAAGCGACGCCAGAAGGUACCUGAGUACCACGGGGCACGUGGAACCCUGUGGGAAUCCGGGAGGACCAUCUUCCAAGGCUAAAUACUACUUGGCGACCGAUAGUGAACCAGUACCGUGAGGGAAAGGUGAAAAGAACCCCUGUUAGGGGAGUGAAACGAGAACCUGAAACCAAUUGCCUACAAGCAGUUCGAGCCUGACUUUUAGUUGGGUGAGAGCGUGCCUUUUGCAUAAUGGGCCAGCGAGUUAAUCUACAGUGCGAGGUUAAGCCGAAGAGGUGUAGCCGCAGCGAAAGCGAGUCUGAACAGGGCUAUUAGUACUGUGGAUUAGACCCGAAGCCGGGUGAGCUAUUCAUGGGCAGGGUGAAGCUUGGGUAAAACCAAGUGGAGGCCCGAACCAGUAGAGGUUGAAAACUCUUUGGAUGACCUGUGAAUAGGGGUGAAAGGCCAAUCAAACCCGGUGAUAGCUGGUUCUCCCCGAAAUAUAUUGAGGUAUAGCCUCGGGUGUUUACUUGCGGAGGUAGAGCACUGAAAGGGCUAGGGGCCCCACCAGGUUACCAAACCCUAUCAAACUCCGAAUGCCGUAAGUUGAAGCCCGGGAGUCAGACUACGGGUGAGAAGGUCCGUGGUCGAAAGGGAAACAGCCCAGACCGUCGGCUAAGGUCCCUAAAUAUGUGCUAAGUGGGAAAGGAAGUGGAACUACUUUGACAGCCAGGAGGUUGGCUUAGAAGCAGCCAUCCUUUAAAGAAAGCGUAAUAGCUCACUGGUCUAGUGGUUCUGCGCCGAAAAUGUACCGGGGCUAAAGCACAUUACCGAAGCCACGGAGGUCAGAGGACAUUGUCCACUGGCCUGGUAGGGGAGCGUUCUCUACGGGACGAAGGUCAACCGGGAGGUUGGGUGGACUGUAGAGAAGUGAGUAUGCUGGCAUGAGUAACGAUAAAACGGGUGAGAAACCCGUUCGCCGUAAGCCUAAGGUUUCCUGGGUAAAGUUAAUCUGCCCAGGGUUAGUCGGCCCCUAAGACGAGGCUGAAGAGCGUAGUCGAUGGGAAACAGGUUAAUAUUCCUGUACCUGCUUGUUGAUCGUUUGAGUGAUGGGGUGACGCAGAAGGGUAGGUCAUCCGGGUGUUGGACGUCCCGGUUCAAGCCUGUAGGCUGAAGAUCCAGGCAAAUCCGGAUCUUCAUAAGGCCGAGAGGUGAUGACGAGUCUUAAUAGACGGAAGUGACUGAUCCCAUGCUGCCUAGAAAAACCUCUAAGCGAGAUCAACUGGCGGACCGUACCGUAAACCAACACAGGUAGGCGGGGAGAGUAUCCCAAGGCGCUUGAGAUAACUCUGGCUAAGGAACUCGGCAAAAUGACCCCGUAACUUCGGGAGAAGGGGUGCUCCUUCGGGUGAUUAAAUUUACUUUAUGAGCCUGGGGGAGUCGCAGCGAAAUGGCGGUGGCGACUGUUUACUAAAAACACAGGUCUCUGCGAAGUCGUAAGACGACGUAUAGGGACUGACGCCUGCCCGGUGCCGGAAGGUUAAGGGGAGAUGUUACCCCGCACUUACUUUACGAUUGAUUUAAUGCAGAUUGAGCGUGAGCAUUGAAGCAAAAAUACGCUUAGUUUAGUAGCAGGAUCAGUAGUAAAGUAAGUGCGGGGGAAGCAUUGAACCGAAGCCCCGGUAAACGGCGGCCGUAACUAUAACGGUCCUAAGGUAGCGAAAUUCCUUGUCGGGUAAGUUCCGACCUGCACGAAUGGCGUAACGAUCGCCGCACUGUCUCGGCCAGAGGCUCAGUGAAAUUGAAUUCUCGGUGAAGAUGCCGAGUACCCGCAGCAAGACGGAAAGACCCUGUGCACCUUUACUACAGCUUGACAUUGGACUUUGGGCUAUCAUGUGUAGGAUAGGUGGGAGGCUUUGAAGCGGUCACGCCAGUGAUCGUGGAGCCGCCCUUGAAAUACCACCCUUGGUAGUCUAGGGUUCUAAUCCCGACCUGUGAAGCCAGGCGGGAGACAUUGUCUGGCGGGUAGUUUGACUGGGGCGGUCGCCUCCCAAAUAGUAACGGAGGCGUGCAAAGGUUCCCUCAGGCUGAUUGGAAACCAGCCGUUGAGUGCAAAGGCAUAAGGGAGCUUGACUGUGAGAGAGACAUCUCGAGCAGGUACGAAAGUAGGCCUUAGUGAUCCGGUGGUUCUGAAUGGAAGGGCCAUCGCUCAUCGGAUAAAAGGUACGCCGGGGAUAACAGGCUGAUCGCGUCCAAGAGUUCACAUCGACGACGCGGUUUGGCACCUCGAUGUCGGCUCAUCACAUCCUGGGGCUGGAGCAGGUCCCAAGGGUAUGGCUGUUCGCCAUUUAAAGUGGUACGCGAGCUGGGUUUAAAACGUCGUGAGACAGUUUGGUCCCUAUCUGCUGUGGGCGCAGGAGACUUGCGAGGCUCUGUUCCUAGUACGAGAGGACCGGAAUGGACGAUCCUCUAGUGGACCUGUUGUCGCGCCAGCGGCACAGCAGGGUAGCUAUGAUCGGCAGGGAUAACCGCUGAAAGCAUCUAAGCGGGAAGCCUUCCUCAAGAUAAGGUCUCCCCUCUGACAUGUAUGCAAGUACGUGUUGGACUAAAGGACCCUGGAAGACCACCAGGUAGAUAGGCCGGAAGUGUAAGCAUGGCAACAUGUUGAGCUGACCGGUACUAAUAGUCCGUGAGUCUUAACCUG